GACGAACGCUGGCGGCGUGCCUAAUACAUGCAAGUCGAGCGCAGGAAACUGACGGAACUCUUCGGAGGGAAGGCAGUGGAAUGAGCGGCGGACGGGUGAGUAACACGUAAGGAACCUGCCUCAAGGAUUGGGAUAACUCCGAGAAAUCGGAGCUAAUACCGGAUAGUUCAUCGGACCGCAUGGUCCGUUGAUGAAAGGCGCUUCGGCGUCACCUUGAGAUGGCCUUGCGGUGCAUUAGCUAGUUGGUGGGGUAAUGGCCCACCAAGGCGACGGUGAAUAGCCGACCUGAGAGGGUGCUCGGCCACACUGGGACUGAGACACGGCCCAGACUCCUACGGGAGGCAGCAGUAGGGAAUCUUCCACAAUGGACGAAAGUCUGAUGGAGCAACGCCGCGUGAGUGAUGAAGGUUUUCGGAUCGUAAAACUCUGUUGUAAGGGAAGAACACGUACGAGAGGAAAUGCUCGUACCUUGACGGUACCUUACGAGAAAGCCACGGCUAACUACGUGCCAGCCGCCGCCGUAAUAC
rnacentral:rRNA from 1 species